UGGGCAACCUGCCCCUGACCCUGGGAUAACCCCGGGAAACCGGAGCUAAUACCGGAUACUCCCCUCUGACCACCUGGUCGGAUGAGGAAAGGUCCGCCGGUCGGGGAUGGGCCCGCGGCCUAUCAGCUUGUUGGUGGGGUAACGGCCUACCAAGGCAUCGACGGGUAGCUGGUCUGAGAGGACGACCAGCCACACUGGGACUGAGACACGGUCCAGACUCCUACGGGAGGCA
rnacentral:rRNA from 1 species